rnacentral:misc_RNA from 1 species
AAAGGGAAAAUAGAAAAUCCGUGGCAAAUAAUUUGUGAUUUUAGUUUUAAACCAUAAUCAGUUGAUAGCUUCUUUAGCAUUUACAUAAAAGCAGGUCUGGUUUUUUCAAACUUCAACGACUGCGUUUUGAGUUCUGAUAUUCCAUUUUUGCAAAAAGUAAAUCUUCAAUUAUGGCAAGCUUGCUAGGUGCUGCCUCAAAUGUGAUAAACGCUGCCUCAAAUGUGGUUGAAGAA